GAUGAACGCUAGCGGCAGGCUUAAUACAUGCAAGUCGUGGGCAGCAUGAGUAGCAAUACUUGAUGGCGACCGGCAAACGGGUGAGGAACACGUACACAACCUUCCUUCAAGCGGGGAAUAGCCCAGAGAAAUUUGGAUUAAUACCCCAUAAUAUAUUUGAUAAGGCAUCGUUAUUAAUAUUAAAGCUUCGGCACUUGAUGAUGGGUGUGCGGCUGAUUAGAUAGUUGGCGGGUAACGGCCCACCAAGUCUACGAUCAGUAGCUGAUGUGAGAGCAUGAUCAGCCACACGGGCACUGAGACACGGGCCCGA
rnacentral:rRNA from 1 species